AAUCGAUGGAUUAAUUGUGGAGAAAUUAAGGAAGAAAGAGGAUUGACGGCUAGGGUUUUCUAUUUCUCUUGUAUUAAUUUUCUUCUAAUUUUAAUAUGUCAUAUGACAUAUAUUUACAGUGAGAAAAUCCUAACGUAAUCCUAAUCCUAAUCGAAAUCCUAUUCCGAUUUGAUUAUCCAUUAACCCGCAAGUUGGUUAUGAUAUUAACCGAAUUCCGAAUCCUAAUUCUAAUUCGAUUCGUGUGUAACAUUUACACAUAAGUCCUCAUAUUAUUUACUAACGAUUAGUAAAUACACCAUGCAACUUUUACACAUAAAUACCUCUAAUUUACAAUAAUUGCAAAUUAGUCCUUUUACUAAUAAAUUAGUAAACUUUAGUAUUUAACUAUAUUAUAAUUAUAAUUAAUCCAUCCAAUAAACUUCUUUUAUCGUAUCUUAAAUAUCGAUCAUGCGCGAUUUCUUAUGUGUGUGACCUAAUAGGUUCAAUUCUGUCUGGUAGUGAGAUAUGAUGCGAU
rnacentral:lncRNA from 1 species